GACGAACGCUGGCGGCGUGCUUAACACAUGCAAGUCGAACGGAAAGGCCCUGCUUUUGUGGGGUGCUCGAGUGGCGAACGGGUGAGUAACACGUGAGUAACCUGCCCUUUACUUUGGGAUAACUUCAGGAAACUGGGGCUAUACCGGAUAGGAGCUCCUGCUGAAUGGUGGGGGUUGGAAAGUUUCGGCGGUUGGGGAUGGACUCGCGGCUUAUCAGCUUGUUGGUGGGGUAGUGGCUUACCAAGGCUUUGACGGGUAGCCGGCCUGAGAGGGUGACCGGCCACAUUGGGACUGAGAUACGGCACAGACGCCUAAGGGAGGCAGCAGUGGGGAAUAUUGCACAAUGGGCGGAAGCCUGAUGCAGCAACGCCGCGUGCGGGAUGACGGCCUUCGGGUUGUAAACCGCUUUCGCCUGUGACGAAGCGUGAGUGACGGUAAUGGGUAAAGAAGCACCGGCUAACUACGUG
rnacentral:rRNA from 1 species